UACGGAGGUGGCUAGCGUUGUUCGGAAUUACUGGGCGUAAAGCGCGCGUAGGCGGACCUGCAAGUCGGGGGUGAAAGCCCGAGGCUCAACCUCGGAACUGCCUUCGAUACUGCGGGUCUCGAGUCCGAGAGAGGUGAGUGGAAUUCCUAGUGUAGAGGUGAAAUUCGUAGAUAUUAGGAAGAACACCAGUGGCGAAGGCGGCUCACUGGCUCGGUACUGACGCUGAGGCGCGAAAGCGUGGGGAGCAAACAGG
rnacentral:rRNA from 1 species